AUUGAACGCUGGCGGCAGGCCUAACACAUGCAAGUCGAACGAGUGGCGGACGGGUGAGUAAUGUGUGGGAAACUGCCCGAUGGAGGGGGAUAACUACGGGAAACGGUAGAUAAUACCACAUACCAUGGGAUGUGCACAGAUGGGAUUAGCUAGGGGGUGGGGUAACGGCUCACCUAGGCGACGAUCCCUAGCUGGUCUGAGAGGAUGACCAGCCACACUGGAACUGAGACACGGUCCAGACUCCUACGGGAGGCAGCAGUGGGGAAUAUUGCACAAUGGGCGCAAGCCGGAUGCAGCCAUGCCGCGUGUAUGAAGAAGGCCUUCGGGUUGUAAAGUACUUUCAGCGAGGAGGCGUUACUCGCAGAAGAAGCACCGGCUAACUCCGUGCCAGCAGCCGCGGUAAUUC
rnacentral:rRNA from 1 species